rnacentral:rRNA from 1 species
GAUGAACGCUGGCGGCGUGCCUAAUACAUGCAAGUCGAGCGAACGGACGAGAAGCUUGCUUCUCUGAUGUUAGCGGCGGACGGGUGAGUAACACGUGGAUAACCUACCUAUAAGACUGGGAUAACUUCGGGAAACCGGAGCUAAUACCGGAUAAUAUUUUGAACCGCAUGGUUCAAAAGUGAAAGACGGUCUUGCUGUCACUUAUAGAUGGAUCCGCGCUGCAUUAGCUAGUUGGUAAGGUAACGGCUUACCAAGGCAACGAUGCAUAGCCGACCUGAGAGGGUGAUCGGCCACACUGGAACUGAGACACGGUCCAGACUCCUACGGGAGGCAGCAGUAGGGAAUCUUCCGCAAUGGGCGAAAGCCUGACGGAGCAACGCCGCGUGAGUGAUGAAGGUCUUCGGAUCGUAAAACUCUGUUAUUAGGGAAGAACAUAUGUGUAAGUAACUGCGCACAUCUUGACGGUACCUAAUCAGAAAGCCACGGCUAACUACGUGCCAGCAGCCGCGGUAAUACGUAGGUGGCAAGCGUUAUCCGGAAUUAUUGGGCGUAAAGCGCGCGUAGGCGGUUUUUUAAGUCUGAUGUGAAAGCCCACGGCUCAACCGUGGAGGGUCAUUGGAAACUGGAAAACUUGAGUGCAGAAGAGGAAAGUGGAAUUCCAUGUGUAGCGGUGAAAUGCGCAGAGAUAUGGAGGAACACCAGUGGCGAAGGCGACUUUCUGGUCUGUAACUGACGCUGAUGUGCGAAAGCGUGGGGAUCAAACAGGAUUAGAUACCCUGGUAGUCCACGCCGUAAACGAUGAGUGCUAAGUGUUAGGGGGUUUCCGCCCCUUAGUGCUGCAGCUAACGCAUUAAGCACUCCGCCUGGGGAGUGCGACCGCAAGGUUGAAACUCAAAGGAAUUGACGGGGACCCGCACAAGCGGUGGAGCAUGUGGUUUAAUUCGAAGCAACGCGAAGAACCUUACCAAAUCUUGACAUCCUUUGACAACUCUAGAGAUAGAGCCUUCCCCUUCGGGGGACAAAGUGACAGGUGGUGCAUGGUUGUCGUCAGCUCGUGUCGUGAGAUGUUGGGUUAAGUCCCGCAACGAGCGCAACCCUUAAGCUUAGUUGCCAUCAUUAAGUUGGGCACUCUAAGUUGACUGCCGGUGACAAACCGGAGGAAGGUGGGGAUGACGUCAAAUCAUCAUGCCCCUUAUGAUUUGGGCUACACACGUGCUACAAUGGACAAUACAAAGGGCAGCGAAACCGCGAGGUCAAGCAAAUCCCAUAAAGUUGUUCUCAGUUCGGAUUGUAGUCUGCAACUCGACUACAUGAAGCUGGAAUCGCUAGUAAUCGUAGAUCAGCAUGCUACGGUGAAUACGUUCCCGGGUCU